GACGAACGCUGGCGGCGUGCUUAACACAUGCAAGUCGAACGGAAAGGCCCUGCUUUUGUGGGGUGCUCGAGUGGCGAACGGGUGAGUAACACGUGAGUAACCUGCCCUUGACUUUGGGAUAACUUCAGGAAACUGGGGCUAAUACCGGAUAGGAGCUCCUGCUGCAUGGUGGGGGUUGGAAAGUUUCGGCGGUUGGGGAUGGACUCGCGGCGUAUCAGCUUGUUGGUGGGGUAGUGGCUUACCAAGGCUUUGACGGGUAGCCGGCCUGAGAGGGUGACCGGCCACAUUGGGACUGAGAUACGGCCCAGACUCCUACGGGAGGCAGCAGUGGGGAAUAUUGCACAAUGGGCGGAAGCCUGAUGCAGCAACGCCGCGUGCGGGAUGACGGCCUUCGGGUUGUAAACCGCUUUCGCCUGUGACGAAGCGUGAGUGAUGGUAAUGGGUAAAGAAGCACCGGCUAACUACGUG
rnacentral:rRNA from 1 species